GCCGUGCUACGAGCUGGUCUUUAUUAGUGACAUGGUAAAAUGGAUCAUAAACCCAUCAUGAAUAUGGUUUCCAACCUGGGGUCAGGUCCCCCCCACAAGGACAAGAUAAAUCUGGAUUCCACAGGGCACGGCCUGCCUGAUUUUGCUGACUUGCUCAGAUUUUGUUGAUUUGGUCAUUUGUCAUUGAUUGAUGUGCUCCUGCCAUUUUAGGUAGCCUACUUAGUUAAAUGGUUUCUUUUUUUGUCUGUUUUAAACUACGCUGAUAUACCAUCACGAGUCUGCGCAGGGUGUUUUAUUUUGAAAAUUUAUCAGAUUCUUUAUGCUGUUUUUGUGUCCGAGUUCAAUCUUCUCUGUGCUGAUUGACACGGCUUCUGUCAAAAAAAUUACUUGCAGGGUAUUCUGCACGGAGCAGAGCGAAGAGCUGCCUCUGGGGCACAUGAAGGUUAAUGGGACAGGAAUUUCAGCAACAUAACGUUGUUUAUUCUUUUCAGACUGUUAAUGUGUUUAUUAUAUUUUAGUCUUACAAUGGAGAUAAUCUAAAAAUUAAAUACAAAAUAAAAGCCAACAAUAGAACAACUGUUCUAAAGAAUGUUUUGGAAUGACACAGCAUUGGUCAUGAUGAAACACAACAUAAUCUCAAACUAAUUAAUUCUGAAUAAGUUAGCUGCUGCUUUCUUGUCAGCUAUUAUUCAAAUGAUUAUUUUCUAUUAUUUUUCACAUUGCUGAGGGGUGUAAACAAUGAGAAUAAAGCUAGCAGUGAUUUUGUUUGCCUGCAUUGUCAAGGGUGGUAUUCUACACUGUGUUACGAAAUGCUCCUGAUUAGUUUUCUCUUAAGUACCUUGUAAAUCAGAAGCCAGAUUUCCAUCUUGUUCCAUCUUUUUUUGUUUAAAUUUCAACCAAUUUACAUAUUAUUUCAUCCCUAUUAAUAUACUGUAUGUAUACAUGAUGAAUAUGUAGAUUUAGCACCAUUUUUGAAUGUGUCGAGCUCUGCGGUUAGUUUAGCAAUAAUAAAUAUGGUUAGACUUUCAAAAGAAAAGUGGUUGCAAUUUGGUUAGUAUUAGGCUACAAAACUAUGUGGUUCAGUUUAGACACAAAAACUAGCGCUAUAACUGUCAGUGUCUGCAUGUUAGCAUUUAGUUUAAGCAGAGCCCCACAAAGCCACUAGCAUGGCUGUAGUAGUAUCUAUAAUAGUCUUAUAAUAAGUAUAAUUCUUUGAGGUUUGAAAAAUACAGGCCCUGAUUUGUGCAAUAUGUUUUCAUUGUAGCACCAAGUUUUGUUAAUCUGCCAUAUUCCAUGAAUAAAAAGUUAUUUUGUUUUUUGUUUUUGUUUGGUAGUCUGACAUUCCACCUUCUCUGCCUAAUUCAGCAGAGAGUACAGCUAACUGAACAUCAGAAUGAACUGGACUGAUGCUCAGUUUUACUGCGGAGUUCAUUGACCUGGCCGCCAGAAUGGAUUUAUGAACAUUAACAGUUGGAAGUGGUCCAGACAGUUUGAAGCAAAUCAGUACUGUGUAUUUAAUGAUAGCAAGACACAACUGAAUGCUCUACUCUGUGAGCAAUGUUAUCUUUUAGUAUGUUAUGAAUAAACUGCUUUCAUUUUUUUUAUUAUGCAUACCUUUCAAAGCUAACACUGCAUGUAGAACUGCAGAUACCUGUCCAGCAUACGAAAUCAAGAGAAUAACAACAUCCAGCUCACUUUCAAGGCAUUAGAUGUCACACUGGCAUGGAUCGGCCUCUACAGAGCCCCGGGCCUUCUGCUCUGACAACAGCAUCUCUACAUUCACUAAAUGGGAAACUGGCCAGCCUAAUAACCCCUUGUCAAAACACUACUCUGGAAGUUUCUCUGCUGUCUCUGGGAAAUGGGAAGAUGGAAGCUGUGAAGGGAGAAUACUCUUCUGUUUCAAAUAGGAAGUCUGAGUCUAAGAUUCUAUUAGCAUGUGAAAUGCUAAUGUUUUUAUUUUGGUGCGUAUAUGAUUCAUUUCAUAGCGGUGACAAUGCAAACAAUAUCGGAGAUUAAGAUUCAGUCACUGGCUUACAUAAACAGCACAGAGAUUCAGCUGCAGGUUUGAUAGCAGGUAAGCAGUACAGCCACAUUGCAGAUGUAAUGACAUAUUUAAUAUUUUCCCCUAUUUCCAUUUUGUUCAAGUGCAUGCCCACAUGGUGUCAAAAGGACUGAUAAACUUCACAGUACGCUGGAGAAAUGUCCAUGUUUACCGUGUGAACCACAAGAAGAGACGAUGGGGAAGGUAACUGCACAGACAAACUGUGACUGGAUUUUACUAAUUAAUAUGUAAAGCUCAUUACAUGCUUUGCUGAGCUGUCCUAUACUUCAAAUCCUCUUCUAUUUUGGAGUGUUGUUGCAAAUGUGCUUUCUCUAAAUAGUAACAUCACAGCACAAUGGUAUGCAAUGUUUCUUUUGAUUGCCAUGGUUCAUGGUUUAUGUCUGAAGUCAAAUAUUUGCAUAAAACAAUUGAUAAUGUGGA